GAACAGGUCUAGAUCAGGUCUACAUCAGGACUAGAUCAGGUCUAGAUUAGGUCUAGAUCAGGUCUAGAUCAGGUCUACAUCAGGACUAGAUCAGGUCUAGAUCAGGUCUAGAUCAGGACUAGAUCAGGACUAGAUCAGGUCUAGAUCAGGUCUACAUCAGGUCUAGAUCAGGUCUAGAUUAGGUCUAGAUCAGGGCCAGAUCUGUACCAGAGUCAGCUGUCUGGGUUUAGAUAUUUAAAAUAGAUGAAGAACAUUUGUGAAGUAUAACGAUCACAGGUCCAUGUUUAGGUUCCUUCUUUUUGUUUUGCAUUUUUUUGUAAGUAUAUGUAGUUGAGUGUGUUCUGGGUCUUUGUGUCGCCUCCUGCUGUGUAAUCUCUUUACUUUUAUGAUGAAGGACGACACUAACCGAGGCAGCUUUGCCACCCAACUAGCGUUGAAUGUGGGGACAUUAGGUGUCCGGAUCUGCCUGGGUUAGUUCCAGUUUUUAAGGGCACAAUUCAAAGAGAUGAAUCUGAUGAGAAACUGUGAACGCCGUGGGCAGCAUUUGGUGGAAAAAAGUGGGAUUUCCUGUCACUUUUAGAACUUCUUUUUCUUUUACAAAAACCUCUACAGCAUACUGUGUACAUCUGACAAUCUUGCUAUUCUGAGAUUCAGAAUAGAUUUAUCUUUCUUCAGAAUAGAUUUAUCUUUCUGAAUCGUUCCCUAGUUUCACUUCUGCCUCAUUGGAGUCUGUGCACUGAAUAUUUCGGAUUAUUUAUCGUACGUUAAAAAAAACAAUCAGAAACACACUGUUCACACCCCCUUGGUUUCAUACACUGUUCCAUAUUUAAAAAAAAGUAAUCUAUUUUUUGUUAAAGUCUUGUCUCUACUGUGACAUCCCUUAAAUCAUGUUCACCCCCAUUACACAAGAGAAAACCAUGACAGACCAAACUCUUGAGUUUUAAGGCUCAUGUGCCAUCUAGUGGUGACAGAGAGAAAUGUCAUAUAGGCAUAUUUCAAUUUCUUAGUUUUUUUGUUCAGUGUUUUGUUUCUGUCAUUUUAUUACCUGCUGUCUUUGUGAUGCACUAUUUUUGUUCUUUAGUUUUAUAACAAAAUUAUUUUACUUUUUGGCCUUAAGCAAGCUUAAGCAUUAAGCCUUAUGUAAAUUUCAACCUGACUAUGUACUAUUCUGCAUUUUAAUUCAGGCAACUAGCCUAGUCACCUAAAGACCCAAACCUGCUUCUGACCAGUAUUCUGUGUCAGUGUCAGUGAAUCCAGUCAGUUGCAUCUGAAUCUGGAAUCUGUGAACAGUGAAGUCGAUUUUUAAAGGUGUAAGAUACAGCUUGGCAGUAGCAUCAUCCAGAAGCCAUGUUUGUUUUAGUCUGUCAGUCACUGUCAGACUGCCGUUCAAAGCACAAAUGCACAUUAUUUGCACCUGUACACAACACUGCAAUCGGACAGUUUACUUGUUGUAAAAGCAUGUACAGCUCAAAGAUAGCAAGACAGAAAUUCUAUUUUUAAGUUUAGGAAGUAGAAUGAAUCCAGUCAGUUUAUGCAUCACCAUCCAUUAAUCCCAAAGCUCUGAAAGGCCACGUAGGGACGGUGUUCACGCUGAUAAAGACUGAAGGUCGAAGGUCGAAGGUCGAAGGUCACAGUGCCAAGGAGCCCAGAGCAGAGUUGGACUGACUGAACAGAGACUGAAGCGUGUGUUUCCUUGGGUUUUCCAAGUAUAUCCAGUCCACAGAUUUGUAUACUCUUCUACUGAUUUCUAUACUGUAUUUUUAUGUUAUGUCAAUGAGGGUUUGUGUUUGAGGCUUCCUCUUUUACUUGCUUCUUAAAAUGCUCUACUUCUGUGCCUUUAAUGAAAAUAAAAUAUAAAAAUGAAAAAUAAACAA
ensembl:lncRNA